rnacentral:rRNA from 1 species
AGAACGAACGCUGGCGGCAUGCCUAAUACAUGCAAGUCGAACGAACACUUCGGUGUUAGUGGCGCACGGGUGCGUAACGCGUGGGAGUCUGCCCUUGGGUUCGGAAUAACAGUUGGAAACGACUGCUAAUACCGGAUGAUAUCGAAAGAUCAAAGAUUUAUCGCCCAGGGAUGAGCCCGCGUAGGAUUAGCUAGUUGGUGAGGUAAAGGCUCACCAAGGCGACGAUCCUUAGCUGGUCUGAGAGGAUGAUCAGCCACACUGGGACUGAGACACGGCCCAGACUCCUACGGGAGGCAGCAGUAGGGAAUAUUGGACAAUGGGCGCAAG